rnacentral:rRNA from 1 species
ACAGCAGUCGCGCGGUAAUACAGAGGGUGCGAGCGUUAAUCGGAUUUACUGGGCGUAAAGCGUGCGUAGGCGGCUUCUUAAGUCGGAUGUGAAAUCCCUGAGCUUAACUUAGGAAUUGCAUUCGAUACUGGGAAGCUAGAGUAUGGGAGAGGAUGGUAGAAUUCCAGGUGUAGCGGUGAAAUGCGUAGAGAUCUGGAGGAAUACCGAUGGCGAAGGCAGCCAUUUGGCCUAAUACUGACGCUGAGGUACGAAAGCAUGGGGAGCAAACAGGAUUAGAUACCCGGGUAGUCCCUGUCUCUUAUACC